rnacentral:misc_RNA from 1 species
AACUGAUACUACCUGCGGGAACCUGCGGAAGGAUCAUUACCAAGAGAAAUCUUUCAACACUGAAAGAUCUUUUCCUUUGUGCUGGCUUUGACCGUAUGUAAUUUUGGGACUUUAAAAUGGUUCGCAAGGGCCGGUCCCAAAAACAAUAUAUCAUCCUUAUGAAAUUUUUUCUGAACAAUUAAACAAAUGAUUUUAAUAAUCUGUUUAAAACAACUUUUAACAACGGAUCUCUAGAUCGGA